rnacentral:rRNA from 1 species
AACGUAGGAGACAAACGUUAUCCGGAGUUACUGGGCGUAAAGGGCGUGUAGGUGGUCUCGUAAGUCUGGCGUGAAAUUUCUCGGCUUAACCGAGGCAGGUCGUCGGAUACUGCGAGGCUAGAGGACGGUAGAGGCGUGUGGAAUUCCGGGUGUAGUGGUGAAAUGCGUAGAGAUCCGGAGGAACACCAGUGGCGAAGGCGACACGCUGGGCCGUACCUGGCACUGAUGCGCGACAGCAUGGGGAGCAAACAGG